rnacentral:lncRNA from 12 species
UCCAUUUCUCUAAGACUUUGUUUGAAUUCCAAAGUGAAUUUUCUAUUAUCCCAUUGUACAUUGCAUAGGAGCCUACCGACCAACAGCCUUUGGAGAGCAACACCUGCAGUUACAUUCAAAGGCAUGACUUUUCCAAGCAGUUUGUGAGCUGGCCGGCAUUGUCCCCAAAGGGAUAAAGGCCUAGGUCUUUACCUGACUGGCAGAAGCAUUCCAGCACCACGAAAGGACUCUCAACAUUGUUUUCUUCAACAAAGAUUCCCAGAGUUGUGGGCCAUACUCUUAACACUGAAGUGCAUAGAACUUGGCAGAAAUCUACACUUCAGAGAUAAUAACAUAUCAUUCCACGAAAUAAAGGAAAAGGCAUAAUCAAAAAACAAAGUUAAAUAUGGAAACCUGUUUUGACAACAAAGAAAUACAGAUGAAGCCAGACAGGAAAGGCUCAUCUUUAAAUGAGCAGAACCCUGGGAAACAGAAAAGAAAUCAUAUAAGAAAUCUGUAAAUUAUGGAGAAUGUAUUCUGGCAACACCCUGCUGGGUACCAAAAAUUACAUAUUUUUUAAACAAGCAGCUUUCUAGAUAUAAGUAGAUUCUAUGCGUCAUACAUUUCAAGGGAAAGUCUUUUAAAGGUUUAUAGUCACAAUAAUGGAAAAAGCAACACACAAGAAAAUUUCUACGC